rnacentral:lncRNA from 10 species
CAGAGCUAGACCUUUCUUCCUAUUCAUCUAACAGUGAUUGGAUAUGGGGAGCUGUCUAUAGGAAGCGGGGGUGAUCUUGGGUGAGAAUGCUCUCUUCUGCUGAGAACAACUGCCAGAGGACUCAACUGAGCACCUUUAACCAUUAGCUGAGGCUUCUUAGCAGGUCUAGUGGCACUUGAAUCUUUAGCACAACAGGGAGCCUCUGUGCCCAGGGUUCAGUGGC